UUUGUUUUAGUAUAGUAUUAUUAUAUUGGCUUUUCGUGCCGAUGAGAAUCAGUUAUUGAUUAAACAAAG
rnacentral:tRNA from 1 species